rnacentral:tRNA from 1 species
GAGGGCAUAGUUCAGUGUUAAAGCGCAUGCCUAGCAAGCAUGAGGUUCUGGGUUCAAUCCCCAGUAUUUCCA